UACGAGGGGGGCGAGCGUUUGUUCGGAAUUAUUGGGCGUAAAGGGUGCGUAGGCGGUCCUAUAAGUAUGGUGUGAAAUCUCCCGGCUUAACUGGGAGGGUGCGCUAUAGACUGUGGGACUAGAGUGUGGGAGAGGAAAGUGGAAUUCCUGGUGUAGCGGUGAAAUGCGUAGAUAUCAGGAGGAACACCGGUGGUGUAAACGGCUUUCUGGACCAUAAACUGACGCUGAGGCACGAAAAGCGUGGGUAGCAAACAGG
rnacentral:rRNA from 1 species